GCAGUCGAACGCUAUUUAUAGAGUGGCGCACGGGUGAGUAACGCGUGGGAACCUGCCUUUUUCUGCGGGAUAACGGUUGGAAACGACCGCUAAUACCGCAUACGCCCUACGGGGGAAAGGUCCGCCGGAGAAAGAGGGGCCCGCGUCUGAUUAGCUAGUUGGUAGGGUAACGGCCUACCAAGGCGACGAUCAGUAGCUGGUCUGAGAGGAUGAUCAGCCACACUGGGACUGAAACACGGCCCAGACUCCUACGGGAGGCAGCAGUGGGGAAUAUUGGACAAUGGGCGCAAGCCUGAUCCAGCCAUACCGCGUGUGUGAAGAAGGCCUUCGGGUUGUAAAGCACUUUAAGCAGGGAGAAAAAGUUAUAAGUUAAUACCUUAUAACCGUGAUGUUACCUGCAGAAUAAGCACCGGCUAAUUCCGUGCCAGCAGCCGCGGUAAUACGGAAGGUGCAAGCGUUAAUCGGAAUUACUGGGCGUAAAGCGCGCGUAGGUGGUUUGUUAAGUUGGAUGUGAAAGCCCUGGGCUCAACCUAGGAACUGCAUCCAAAACUAACUCACUAGAGUACGAUAGAGGGAGGUAGAAUUCAUAGUGUAGCGGUGGAAUGCGUAGAUAUUAUGAAGAAUACCAGUGGCGAAGGCGGCCUCCUGGAUCUGUACUGACACUGAGGUGCGAAAGCGUGGGUAGCGAACAGGAUUAGAUACCCUGGUAGUCCACGCCGUAAACGAUGACAACUAGCUGUUGGGAGACAAUGUCUUUCAGUGGCGCAGCUAACGUUUUAAGUUGUCCGCCUGGGGAGUACGGCCGCAAGGCUAAAACUCAAAUGAAUUGACGGGGACCCGCACAAGCGGUGGAGCAUGUGGUUUAAUUCGAUGCAACGCGAAAAACCUUACCUACUCUUGACAUAUUUGGAAGCUCUUGUAAUGAGAGUGUGCCUUUUGGAACCAAGAUACAGGUGCUGCAUGGCUGUCGUCAGCUCGUGUCGUGAGAUGUUCCGUUAAGUCGGAUAACGAGCGCAACCCUUACCCUUAUUUGCCAGCGAUUCGGUCGGGAACUAUAAGGGGACUGCCGGUGAUAAACCGGAGGAAGGUGAGGACGACGUCAAGUCAUCAUGGCCCUUA
rnacentral:rRNA from 1 species